GAGCUAUUGCAACGGUAUGUGUUGUAUUAUGAAAAAUUUAGAAGCGCGCAUUUCUUCCCUCUAUUUUUUUCACCAAAUAUUUGAACAACACUUGUCUUUAAUUUGCUUCCCUCUAUUCACAAUUCUCAAGUACAGUACCAUUUUCCCCCUUUUCUCUAAUUUUCCCCAUUCUCACCUUAAUUGAUUAUAGAGGACCAUUUUCACAGUACCAUUUUUCCAAUUUCUCCAUUUUCUCAUCUUCUCAGAUCUCAUAUUUUCACAGUAGAUGAGAAGGAGUACGUUUUUGUUGUAGUUGUUGCAUCUGAUUUAAAACCCAGACCUCAAAACUACCAACAAUGGUGCAACCACCGCAUGCACCACCACCGCGCUCAUAUACCGACCUCUUCGGCGGCCCAAUCUACGAUUUAACCCCUUUAUGGUUCAAGAACAACCUCUUUCUCCCUCCUUUCGACUCCGAAUCCUACAUCUCUAACCUUCAAACCCAUUCCUCUCUCGCUGCACUCAAUUAAUCUCAAGUUACUGGUAUGUAUUUUGAAACAAUUAAAUUUAUUCUAGUAUAAUUUGUUGAAAAUGGCUCUAUUUAGUUGUUAAAUGCUAUAAUUUCUCAAAAAUUAAGCUACUAUUUGUUUAAUUAGGGUUCUCGUAAGUAAUUGCUUCAAUAAUUCUGAUGUCAUCAAUUUUGUUAAACUAAUUUUGCAUUUUUGCUGGUUUGAUUGAGAGAAAGAGAACGAUUAAGCCCACCAUCCCAUUAUUGAGUCUUCAGAAGCAGGUGCAUGAGCAGUUGGUAUGCUGGAACCUACAGGUGUUGUUGUGCUAUAUAACUUGGUCCUCGUUCUACUCAGAUUUCCGCAGGUAAGAAGCCCCUGGUUAUACAAUGAAAAAUAAAAAAUAUCACCCCUCUGAGUGAAUGGGCAGCGUAUAAUUUUCUUCACCCUAAUUUGUAUGAAGUUGCUGAAUUUACUUCUGAGAUGAAGCGAAAUUGGGUUUAUAAUUUGAGUAUUCCUCAAUUUUCAUACUUACUCUCCAAGAUCCGCUCUCUUCAUACUUUAAUUUGUAAGGAUAUAGAGCUUUAUUAUAGGAUACCUCAUGCCUGUGAUGUUUGGAUUAAGAGAUAGAAUGACAGGAAAUUGCCAUACCAAGAGAAGCAUGUCCGCCAACAGGCAUCGAUUCUUGGCAACUUGGAGGAUUUUGGGGUUUUGUCUGAGCAAUACUGUCAAUCUGAUCUCUCUGCUGUUGUUGAGUUUGGAGCUGGCAGGGGUAACUUAAGGUCUUUAUAGGAUCAAUAAGGUCUUUUUGGUUGAGCGUAAGGCAUACAAGCUAAAGGUCAGUGUACAUUAAAACACUUCUUUAUGCUCAUAUAAGAUGUAACUAAACUCAUUAUAUUUAUGCUCAUAUAUCUUAGUAUCUUAAACUUUAGGCUGAUCGAAGUCUACCACAGAUAGACAACUUAACAUUGGAGCGUUUGAGAAUUGACCGUAAGCUUACUUGCAGGAAGAAAUUGGAAAUAAAGAUUUUAACUGCAUAUGUUCUUGACAAGAUAUGCACAAGGUUACUACAAGAUUGUACGAAGUAUAGUGACUAGCCAUCUAACAAAUGGUGCAUAUAUGUUGGCGACUCUUAUUCAAGUUCCGGCUUUGUGAAGAUUUGGAUAUUUCGGCUUAUAUAUAUGUUGACAAUUUGUAUUUUGGACGAUCAAAUCAAUUAUCUAACUUUUAUUUAUUAUUAGUACGGUAUGUCAUAUCAAAAAUAGGCAAGUAAUAUUUUGUAAUGUACGUAUUUUGCAUUAUAAUUAUUACAUAUAAAUGAUACUUUAAUUUGUUUAUGUUAGUAUAUUUAGAUUUGUACUGACUAAUUAAUAUUAUAUUACCAUUCCAUCCCAACAAAAAAAAAAAAA